rnacentral:SRP_RNA from 1 species
GCCGGGCGUGGUGGCUCAUGCCUGUAAUCCCAGCACUUUGGGAGGCUGAGGUGGGCGGAUCACCUGAGGUCAGGAGUUCGAGACCAGCCUGGCCAACAUGGUGAAACCCCAUCUCUA